GAUUAAGUGGCUGAAGUUAGGCGAUAGAUUGUAAAUCUAUUUAUAAGAAUUUUUCUUCUUAAUCAAU
rnacentral:tRNA from 1 species